rnacentral:rRNA from 1 species
UGGGGAAUAUUGGACAAUGGGCGAAAGCCUGAUCCAGCCAUGCCGCGUGUGUGAAGAAGGUCUUCGGAUUGUAAAGCACUUUAAGUUGGGAGGAAGGGCAUUAACCUAAUACGUUAGUGUUUUGAAGUUACCGACAGAAUAAGCACCGGCUAACUCUGUGCCAGCAGCCGCGGUAAUACAGAGGGUGCAAGCGUUAAUCGGAAUUACUGGGCGUAAAGCGCGCGUAGGUGGUUUGUUAAGUUGGAUGUGAAAGCCCCGGGCUCAACCUGGGAACUGCAUCCAAAACUGGCAAGCUAGAGUACGGUAGAGGGUGGUGGAAUUUCCUGUGUAGCGGUGAAAUGCGUAGAUAUAGGAAGGAACACCAGUGGCGAAGGCGACCACCUGGACUGAUACUGACACUGAGGUGCGAAAGCGUGGGGAGCAAACA